rnacentral:sRNA from 1 species
CUUCUCCACACUGUUCCAGUUCCACUUUUUCGUUUUUUUCACUCUUCAGUCCUUCCUUGAUUCUUCAACGGAAGGUUUUUUUUUUUUUUUUUUUUGUGUGGUUUAAUGUAUUUGCCCAAUUCAAAAUGUAUUGAACAGUUUUUCAUUGGUUUUUGACUUGUCAUUUGCCUUUUUACCUAACCAUCGCCGUCGCCACCGCCACCUACGUUUUUGGUCAUGCACACACACGUGUGUGUAUGUGUGUGGUUGUCUGUAAAGGCUUUUGAUGAACGCCAUUGUGUUAAAACUCCAUGAUUUAUUCUUAUGCUAUGGGAUCUGGGAUCUGAUGGCAUUUUCACGGUUUUACCUCAGUUCACCGAUUUUUUUAUCAUAGAGGUUUGUUCUGUUUUUAUGAGCCUGAUGAUUGAGUAGCACUGUGUAUGCUCUGUGAGAUCAUGAAGUUAGAUUUUCCUCCGCCGUCUUCGUUAUUGUUUGGUGUUUUCUACAUCUUUUGUACUUUCGUUUCUCGAUGGUUUGCAUUUGGGGAAACCCUAUUAGUUUGACGGUUAAUAUGCCAAUUUAAACCUGUUAGAUAUUUAAAUUUGAAAGAAUUUGUUAAGCAUGAAGCAGAGUGACCUAAAUUUUGGUCUAGGGUUUUCUGGUCUGAAAAAACAUACUUACUGUUUCAACUGGUUCAAUUGACAUGCGGCUGCCUUCUAUGCUACCCCAUGAUGGAUAAAUAGUCUAUUGAACGGCUACAUGGUUUUGUUCGUAACUGGAUCUGCACCAUUCUCUUCCUCUUUCUCUCUCUUUUUGUCUCUCUCUACGUCUGCGUGUGUGAGCGCGCACGUCUAUUUUUGCACUCUAUGCAUACUUGCAUACAUAUAUAUAUAUAUACAUAAACUAUGUUGAGAUGGUGCAAGAAGGCUGUGAACGAAGCCUGUUAUAAAGCUGUAGAUGAUCUGUCUUUAGCUAUGAGAUCUGAGGGUUAUGCGCUCUAUUUUAUUUGGCAAUACUUGUUUUCCAUUUUCUAAAGCAAUUUUUCUAUUGUUCUUAUUAGACAUGCUAGCAGACUUACACAAUUUUGAUUAACAUCUGAAAUGCAUUUGAAAUAAUCAGGAGAAAAGUGCCGAGGAGAUGUUUUAUGUAUACUAACUUUAACUGUUUUAUAUUAAUUCGGUAGUCAUGGAAUCAUUGUUCGUUUUUAUGGCCAUAAGAACAAUCCCAAGUCUUUCUCCUUUCUUUUGUUCUGGAUUAGCUUUAUAGCAUUCACUAGUUUAUGAUCUAAGCCAAUGCUAUUUUUAAGACGUUUCACAAAAAUUCUGUUUUCUCUUUUUCUACAGCAAGCAUUGGCUGUAAAUGCUAUCCUUUAUGUCGUGUUGAGGUUAUGUAGUAGUUUGUUCACCCAUGUUGAGAUGAUAAAUGACUUAAUGUUGGUGGGUUGGAGAAUUGAGGUGUUGCAAUAAAGAUUAAACUAGCGUAAGGUAUGUCCAUAAUACAUAUAAAGGCUACGCCAUGGUCAGUGAUCGUCUAUGAUCGGCUUCACGUGCUCGGAAGUGAUUCGUGAGAAUUUAAGCGUUUCUUGACCUGUCUGAACUGAAGCAUGUCUCCUUGUUUGCUGGUCAUUAAUUACUAUGGAUUUUUUGGUCGCUGUUGAGUGCUUCAAUUUCUGGAAACCAUCAAAGUCAAAGGUCACGGAGGGUUGCUAUACCAUGGGGAUGAUAAAAUCGAAUACGCUGUCUUGUUGGAAAAUUAUACUUAUUAGAAGUAGUGGUAGUUAUAGAUAUGGAACAAACAAGAGAAAAGGUCGCAAUAGCGAGACUCUUGUAUUUCAAAGGUAACCAGCCAACUGCUUAUUGAGAUAAAUUAGGGGGAAUUUGAAUACGUAUAUUUUAGUGGCUCCCCCGGAAGAAAAGCCUUCAAAUGGUCAAUCGAUUUUAGAGCUUGUGUUCAUUUCUUCACAUUUACUAAUUCGCCUCUCGUUUUUUAAAUUUUCUACAUCCAAAAACGCAAUGUAUAUUAUGAUUAACAUCUAGUGCUGUCAAGUUGGUUCUAACUCGUGA